AUUGAACGCUGGCGGCAUGCUUUACACAUGCAAGUCGAACGGUAACAGGUCUUCGGAUGCUGACGAGUGGCGAACGGGUGAGUAAUACAUCGGAACGUGCCUAGUAGUGGGGGAUAACUACUCGAAAGAGUGGCUAAUACCGCAUGAGAUCUACGGAUGAAAGCAGGGGACCUUCGGGCCUUGUGCUACUAGAGCGGCUGAUGGCAGAUGAGGGAGUUGGUGGGGUAAAGGCUUACCAAGCCUGCGAUCUGUAGCUGGUCUGAGAGGACGACCAGCCACACUGGGACUGAGACACGGCCCAGACUCCUACGGGAGGCAGCAGUGGGGAAUUUUGGACAAUGGGCGAAAGCCUGAUCCAGCAAUGCCGCGUGCAGGAUGAAGGCCCUCGGGUUGUAAACUGCUUUUGUACGGAACGAAAAGCCUGGGGCUAAUAUCCCCGGGUCAUGACGGUACCGUAAGAAUAAGCACCGGCUAACUACGUGCCAGCCGCCGCCGUAAAAC
rnacentral:rRNA from 1 species